rnacentral:misc_RNA from 1 species
GAUGAAGAACGCAGCGAAAUGCGAUAAGUAAUGUGAAUUGCAGAAUUCAGUGAAUCAUCGAAUCUUUGAACGCACAUUGCGCCCAUUAGUAUUCUAGUGGGCAUGCCUGUUCGAGCGUCAUUAAGUCCACUUAAGCCCUGCUUAGUGUUGGGAACCUACAGAAGCUACCCUGUAGCUACCCUGUAGUUCCUUAAAGACAGCGGCGGAGUUGUAGUACCCUCUGAGCUUAGUAAUUUUUUCUAGCUUUCGAGAUGCUACUGCUUCUGCCGUUAAACACCCUUCUUCUGAAUGGUUGACCUCGGAUCAGGUAGGAAUACCCGCUGAACUUAAGCAUAUCAAUAAAGCGGAGGA